AGAAUGUUCUCGAUGGGUUUCUGCGCAUGCUCAGAAGCUGAUUCCACAAACUCCACUGUUGCUGUGUGCAAAUUGGCCGGUGAAUGUGCUCGUGGUCAAGGUCUUACCCUGCUUUCAUCAAAUGACAUCUAUCGCUGUCUGAGUCUUCCAUACAUUGCUGAGCUUGAGGACUAGACAGUCUGCAUUUAUUUGUGGCUCUUCAGUAGUGGUAGAAGCAGAGUUUACUCAUGCAACAGCUGGAUCAUCAUUCUACACGGCUGAUGACAAUCUUUAAACGUAAAGGAGGAGCAGCAGGGCGGAAAAUAAGGAAUAUCAUGGUGGACCUGGAUAAGAAUGAAGCUGUUGAAACAAGAAGAGCCUGUGUACUGAAAGCACUAAUGGUUUACUUCAAUGAAGACCCUGAAAAUCUCAUAAGAGAGUACAUGUGGAAAGCGGGUGUUGACCCAUGCCCCACCUCACCCUGCCGCCGCCGGACACUGUCACCUUUUUUUCUCUGAGGAGUUUGCAGGUCUGGGUAUUAUUUAUGGAUGGUGCUACAUCCUUCCAGACAAAACUACAUGGUAAUUGGAGACUGGAUCGAUAAUAAAUGGUGUGUAUGUUGUAACUGAAGGUGCAUUUGUUCUGUUUUUGAGGAUGUUGAAGACAACCAGGAGGCUAUGGACCAGACAGUCAUGGGAAUCUUUGCCAUAAAGAUGGAAGGUGCAGUCUACAGAUGGCCUGACUAAUGCUGGAAUAAUCAUUGAAGGUGUGGAAGUGCUCCAUGACCUUGAUAACAUUGCAAAUGCAGUCGCCGUUUUGUUUGGCAUCAUGUACUCACGGGACCUGAGCUAUCCAACAAACCUGAAGUACACAUUUGAGGUUCUGCAGAAACUUGUGAUGGAACUAGAUGGCAACAAACUCUCAACAAAGGCUCAAGUGCUAAUGAACAAACUAUUUUUUUAUUUGAAGGAACAUUUUAGACAAGUGUCGUGCUCCUGAGCAGCACAGAGGAAACUUGGGAGGACAGAUUCCAUCCCAAACCAUCUGGCAGAAAACUGAUUUUUGGAUCUGCAUGUUGAACUGUGAACAGUGAACGAUGUGGAGUGGAUCAGAUGCACUAAAUGUUAACAGAGUUCAUGAGAUUUGGUACUGUAAAAAAUGUAUUUUGAACUACUUUUUUUCAGCAAUGGUUAGGGUUAUUUUAAGAUAUAACUCACGCAAAUUCAAAGUUUGUAUUUUUAAAUGUGUUUGCUUGUGAUGGUUGUAUAGUACCAUUUAUUACCAUUGGUAAUAAAUAGUAUUUUUCCACAGAACCAAGGUAUUGUAAUUUGAAUUUACUCAACUACAUUGUGUGGAAAUUGUUGACAUAACUAGGUUUAGUGAGUCCAACAUAAUUCACUAGCUUGAUAACAAUGAAAACUAUGUAAGUACUGAUUAUUCAAGUCACUUAAAUUGGAACUACAAUGAGUUGUUCAAUUAGUGUUACUCAAUGCAGCUGAGUUACAUUUACAUUAGUGAGUUAGGUCAGUGUAAUGAAUGCCUGCUUAGUUAGCUGAACACAUUUUGAUCAAUUAAGGCUAACUUGACCAGAUAAUAUUGAAAUUACAGUCUUGUUGGUUUCACAUACGUUAAUUAUUUCCUCUGUAAUAGUACUAUUAAAUUAGUUUGAACACAAGACAGUUUUGUGGAAAUUGUUGAUAUAACUAUAUUAAGUACAUUGAACAAAUUAUUUUUUUGAGAUUUGUGCACGUUCAUAGUUAGCAUACAAAAUGUGUACUAAAUGGAGAAUAAAUAUCAAAGUAAAGUA